CCUAGCAGCAGCUCGAUAGGUGGCGCUGGUGUGCUUUUAAGCUGGCUUGCCAAACGCCGUAGACUCAGAAGAAGACGAACAAACAAUUACAGAAGAAGAAAAACAACAGCAGUGAGUUUCUCAUGUGAAACAAACUAUGGAAACAAUGGAUCCUUCUCAGCAGCUACAACUCUGUUCAAGCCCUCAAAGUACUCCAAGAUCAUUGAGCAUUUGACACUGCAUUUUAGGUCAUCAGUUUCGCUGGAGAUAACACGAUCCACAAAUGCGGAGUGGAGUGCAGAACACAGACCCAUUACCACUGUUUGUUCUGUACAUCAUGCUGAUAAGGAGAAUAGAUUUCAAGAAACAUCUAGCAUCAUGUAACAAGGUUAAGCAGCUGAUCGCCCAAAUAUCAACUCAGAGAGUCCAAACUGAAGGACUGAGGGCUUCUUUGGUGUUCUCAGAGGGGGGUGAAAUCCCUUCAUUCAACAUGCGCACUGAUGACUUCAAAGACACAAACUUCAACUUGGAUACAGACAACCACAACGACCAAGGAUCGAGCAGCAGCCACUCCGUGACCACCCCUGACCGUGAAUAUGAAACAGUGUGGUCCAGCUCUUCUACAUGAAACCAAACUGUUCAGAUAGACUUUGAUAAACCUCAAGACUGUGAUGAAUUCUACUUCAUGUAUCUGGUGAAAAAAUUCAAAAAGUUGUCCUCUGAGAAGAAAGCCAGUGUAAGGAUGAAAAUUGAGAGACUCCUCUUUGAAGCAGAGUUUGAUUAGAAAAGAGGUCGCACACACAUGAACCAAGAUAGUUUUGUUGUUUGGUGAUAAUACUUAAAGUUUUGGGACAGUGUCUGCGCUAUCCACCACAAAUUCAGUGAUGGAGAAAAAACUGUUUUGGAAUAAGCUUUAAUGAAGGUGAAGCAUUGUUACGACUACCUCAGCUGAAAUGCCACAUCGCUUCUGGGGCCUCUUUGACAAAAAAAUGCUACAUGACAUCGAUUGCUCUUGUGUUAAUUUACUGAUAUUUCAGCAUGAGCAUGCAAAAAGUAGGACUCUGCAAAUGACUUGCAAAAAAAAGUGUGCGGUACGAUGCAGCCAGCCUAUCAGGUUAGAGUGUGAGCAGUGUUUACAAAUAGCCUCUGUGAAAUGCAGAAGUUUCUUUAAGUAUGAACCAAAAAGUAACAGGAUAUGAAAGCUAGACAGGACCUGAGAAGCAAUUUACUUGGGAUUACAUUUUUAAAUCCAGAAUGCUGCUAACAGCUGCUGUCCUGUCAUCAGAGAAGAAGAAGAGAUAACCGUGCAGGGUGAUUUAGGGUUUUCUGUGAUAGGAAUCUAACUGUAUGCAAACUGUUUGUUUUCUAUGUUGAUCUGUUUUUUUUAAAUAAGAGUUUAAAGUUAACAAGUUUGUAUUAAAGCAAUUGGUUCAGAUUAGAAAUUGACAGUUUAUAUUUUUUGAUGAUAUCUUUUAACCAAAGACAACUUGUGUGAGAUUGUUGCAGCCUACCGCAGACAAAUGCAGGAGAAAACAUCUCCCAUUUUGUUUUUUUAUUUAAAAAAUGAGCUGUUUGUAUAUUUGAACCACAAUAAGGGUUAUCUUUAUUCAAAUAAAGUUUUGACUGGCACAGUGA